GUUUGGCGGUAAACUAGAUUCGUCCGGGGGAAUGUGCAAGUUAAAGAGAUGGUCCGCUAAUUAUUUCACUAUAAUAAGAUGAGUUAGUGUAUAUCCGUUUAAAAAUUUACGUUUAAAGACAUGAAGUGAGUGUUAAUUAUAUAAUUUAAGACAGGUCCAUAUGCUGCUAAUGUUAUAGGUAGUUGUGCGUUACAUUGAUAAGUUAAGUGGGAUGAAAUUCACUUAUGAAUUUAGGACUCGGAAGUAGGAGUAAAAAAGUAUGUUGCUUCGAAGGUUGAAAUAGUUUAUGUACACAUCGCCCGACAAUCUCGGUGAUAAAUUGAGUUAA
rnacentral:rRNA from 1 species